AGGAAUUUUUGAAGAUGCAAAGAGUACAGACACUCAUUUCAUGCCAGAUAUUAUGGGCCCUUUGAAGAAAUUCCAAGUCAUUUUUGGGUAGUCAUUCUCAAGUAGUCAACUUGAUGAUCUAAUAAACCAGGAAGGUUGUCAAGCCUUCUAUAAUCUGCAAUUUAACCUAUUCUGAGUUUUGGCUCGGCAUUUAUGUUUGGAAGUUUUGUGCAGGUUAAAAUGAUAUUUGAUGACUUGGGGUUGAUGAAAGCCUCAUUGGACGGAGUGAUUAUACAUGUAUAAAGACAUUGUUGCAGGAGGCUUCUCCUACAAUUAUCUUUUCGAUGUAGCCUUAGUCUUUGCUUCUCUGAAUUGAUGCUUAAUUAGAAAAUGUAAGUAUCAAAGCAAAUUACUUUAUUCUCAUCAAAACGGUGAUUAUAAAAUUUUAGAGGAAAGAAGAAAACAAAAGGGACAAUAAUGUUAGAGUUCACGCUAAACAUGUAACAUAUCGAUAAAACUGCUUUUAAGGGCCAAAGAUUACCGAUUUUGAUGGAAAAAACCCAUUGAGUUUAAGUUUAGGUUGGCUAUGUGAUUUCACUAACAUUGUUUUUCUUUGAUGCAGAAAUUAGUGUUCUCUCCAUUGAGCAAAUUGUUCAUUCCCCUGCUUCCUCCGAAGAAUGCCUUCCUUAGAUGUGCCCACCCAACUGAAAGUCUCAGGGGUUGUAAUGGGUCAAGAAUACUGUACGAGUAGGUGUCAUGGACUCUGAUUUGAUCAACCUGAAUCUUGGCUAUUGUGGAGGCUGUGAGUUGUAGCUGAUUCUUGCAAGAUUAUUAUUGCACUGCCACCUGGAGAUGGAAAUGCUACUUCAUGUGCAAAAGAUAGUGAUGGAGUUGGUUGGCAUCUCAGGAAAGCCGUGAAUAUUCUUUAGUGUUAUAAAAAGAAUACAAUUUGUAGAUCCCAGGGGUGUGUGGGUUUGUUUUGCUGAUGACACUGAAUGUGUAAGUGUUUGGUUUUAUUUAGUUUUGCUGGGCUAUAUUCUGUGAUCAUCUCCUCUUCGGGUUGCUUGUUUGUAGCAUUGCUUUUGUGUAAUUCCCUUUUUUAUUAACAGAUUGAGAUGU
rnacentral:lncRNA from 1 species